rnacentral:tRNA from 1 species
GGAGGUGUAGCUCAGUGAAGAGUGCUAGUCUGGUGUGCAAAAGUCCUAGGUUCUAUCCCCAGCACCACCA